CUUUCACAAUUGCUAUUAAAUGUGAGCGAGUGUCUGAGUGCACAGAAAGCAGCUCUCAAGUUUUGGAUACUUCUAAACCAGGCACUGAGUUCAUUGAGCUCCUUGAUUUGUGGCUUCGUGUUCUUUGAAUACUCAGGAACAAGACUGAGGAAGUCACUCCAAUGCUUGGAGUGUGCCUGCGUGGCAAAUGCCAUCAGCAUGCACAGGGGAGCAGAUGUGUCCCCAUACGGCCCUACCAGGAGUUGAGCUUGGUGUCUGCAUGGAUGCUGCUGGGAUGAGAACAGCAGUAUUGGAGCUCCUCAUCCUGAGGGCACUGCCAGCCUGGGACUGGCCCGAAGCCGACUGAAGCCUUUUGGAAGUGUUCCAGCCGAUUCAAUGGGUUCUGAUUCAGGCUUUGAAUUGAGCCUUAACUUUAUACGUUUUUGAUUAUUGAAAAGGCUCUAAUUCCCUCCUGCCUCCGUGUGUGCUGAUACAGAGACCUCAUUUUCCAUUGGUCCACACUAGAAUUUGUCACUCCACAGGAAACAUGCAACACUUUAAAUUGAUGCAGCCAGUCAGUGUACUUUUCUAAUGGACUUUGGGAGGUGUUAGUGGAGCCGUGUGAUGCAGACUGAGGGCACAGUUGACAUAAAUUAUUUCUAACCCUCACAGAACUGUGAGGUUGGAAAUGGAAAUAUAGCCCUUCAACUUCAAAGCACGUGAGCCCACAUGAGCCACCUGUGCUGGGAGAGUCACACACCCAUAGGUGUCAACCAGCAUCCCUCUGCAGGCACCAAAGCUUUACAAAUGCUUAGCUGCCUGAUUGCUAGAGCAAAGAAAAGUGGACACUUCCAUUGCAGCAUUAGAAAAAUAACAGUGGAGAGCAGAAAGUCUGGGCCAAGGCAAAACGUUUUGACUUCUGGAUGCAGCAGAGAAAGAGGAGAUUGGAGACACAAGAAAGUAAAUGCACAAGGAGGAGGUGGAAAUACUCGCCAGCACCUUGGGGAAAUCUGUGUUUUGUGUCUCUCAGCAACCAAGAGGCAACAAGUUCACAAGAGUGAGGGAGACUGGCAUGGCACCAGCCCCUAGAUACUCUUAUUUGGAGAAACAUAGAUGUGAGUGCUGAAGAGAGAGAAAACCCCGAGAGCAAGUAAUGAUGGCAGCUACAUACAGAAUUACCUAUGAAAUAUCCACAGAUGUAGUUUCACUGUAUUAUUUUUAGAAUAAAACAGAGCUGAUGUGUUGAAAGAAGAGUGCAAGGGUUAAUCACUUUACAGAUACAAACAACACGAGGUCCAGAUCACUCUGAGAAUACAGCUUCCAGCUAUGCCUGCUUUAAUAUCUUCCCUUUCCUCCUGGCGGUGCAAUAAGGCAAUUCAGCACACAGCCAAGGUAUUUUGUGAUACGCUGUCAUCUCCAGCCAACUUCUGAAAGGCUGUGUGGUGAGAAGGGAGGAUUCACAAGCUGAUACCCUGACACCGCUGAGCUGCUCUCAGAGAAGCGUGCCAGCUCACAGUGGAGUUACCAAGUUGCAGCCUUGGUUCCAAUCCCGUUCUUUUUUUGCCUCCUCCUCCAGACUUUCUGAUGACCUACUCAGUAAAUGAG
ensembl:lncRNA